UUUUUUUCCUCGUAUGAUUUAGUAAAUUUUCAAAAUUAUUUUCAUUUUUUGGAAAACAAAAAUAAGACACCAAUCAAGUUUUUGUUUUUCGUUUUCAAAAUACUUGUAAAACAUAAACAAAAGAUUAAAACAUAAACAUUACCAAAUGGGAGUUUAAGAGCUCAACCUUGAUAAAAACCGAGAAAGAGUGGGAGGGGAUGUUGAAUAUUUACCACUCAACCGUGGAUCUAACUAUGAAUACAUAGUUCUCUGUAUAUUGGUUGUAUUUUUUCUAAUCAUUGCACAAUUGCAAUGAGAUGUAUGCUUGAUUUUGGGAUGAACCACUUUCAAUCUUGUGUUCUUGUGUGUACGUAUACUUUAUAAUUCCUAUUUUGUUUCUUUCUAUUUUCGUGUCUUACUCAUCUUGAUUAGGUAUUCCGCAUGGGCAACAACUUGCCAAAGAUCUUGAUCUAACUAGUGGAAGACUUUGGACUAAGCUGAUGAAGAUUGUAUUGCUAUGGCUUCCCUCCUUUGUUCCGAAUCAAACAGAAAUGGUGUUUUCAAAGGUGCUAUUAGAGAAAAUGUACAAAUUAGAGAUUGUUUGAUUGUGCUAGAAAUUGCUAGUUAAGUGUGCUUGUUAUGUAAUAUAACUGUUUGUGAGUACUUGUUUGUAAUAUAUAACUACUGAAUUCACCCAAAAAAUAUAUAACUACUAUUUGUGAGGAAA